UCCGAGUUGUCCCCGGCAGUCUCUUAUGAGUCCCCGGCAUAACCCGCUGGUAACAUAAGACAAGGGUUGCGCUCGUUGCGGGACUUAACCCAACAUCUCACGACACGAGCUGACGACAGCCAUGCACCACCUGUCAUGGGCCCUUUCGGACACCGUAUCUCUACGGCUUUUCCCAUAAUGUCAAACCCAGGUAAGGUUCUUCGGGUCGCAUCGAAUUAAGCCGCAUGCUCCGCCGCUUGUGCGGGGACCCGUCAAUUUCUUUGAGUUUUAACCUUGCGGCCGUACUCCCCAGGCGGAUGACCUAAUGCGUUAGCUGCGGCACGGAAGUCUUGCGACCCCUGACAGCUAGUUAUCAUCGUUUACGGCGUGGACUAC
rnacentral:misc_RNA from 1 species